AGAUUAAGUUAUUAAGGGCGCACGGUGGAUGCCUUGGCACUAGAAGCCGAUGAAGGACGUUACUAACGACGAUAUGCUUUGGGGAGCUGUAAGUAAGCUUUGAUCCAGAGAUUUCCGAAUGGGGAAACCCAGCAUGAGUUAUGUCAUGUUAUCGAUAUGUGAAUACAUAGCAUAUCAGAAGGCACACCCGGAGAACUGAAACAUCUUAGUACCCGGAGGAAGAGAAAGAAAAUUCGAUUCCCUUAGUAGCGGCGAGCGAAACGGGAAGAGCCCAAACCAACAAGCUUGCUUGUUGGGGUUGUAGGACACUCUAUACGGAGUUACAAAGGACGACAUUAGACGAAUCAUCUGGAAAGAUGAAUCAAAGAAGGUAAUAAUCCUGUAGUCGAAAAUGUUGUCUCUCUUGAGUGGAUCCUGAGUACGACGGAGCACGUGAAAUUCCGUUGGAAUCUGGGAGGACCAUCUCCUAAGGCUAAAUACUCUCUAGUGACCGAUAGUGAACCAGUACCGUGAGGGAAAGGUGAAAAGCACCCCGGAAGGGGAGUGAAAUAGAACCUGAAACCGUGUGCUUACAAGUAGUCAGAGCCCGUUAAUGGGUGAUGGCGUGCCUUUUGUAGAAUGAACCGGCGAGUUACGAUUUGAUGCAAGGUUAAGCAGUAAAUGUGGAGCCGUAGCGAAAGCGAGUCUGAAUAGGGCGUUUAGUAUUUGGUCGUAGACCCGAAACCAGGUGAUCUACCCUUGGUCAGGUUGAAGUUCAGGUAACACUGAAUGGAGGACCGAACCGACUUACGUUGAAAAGUGAGCGGAUGAACUGAGGGUAGCGGAGAAAUUCCAAUCGAACCUGGAGAUAGCUGGUU
rnacentral:rRNA from 1 species